rfam:Eubacterium sp. An11 An11_contig_21, whole genome shotgun sequence.
UGGUAAAAGAAAGCCCCGGACAGCGGACGGGCAAGGGAACAUGAGCAUGGAGAGCGGAAGCUCGGAAUGCGAAUGCUCCCGGAGGAUGGCGGGAGUGCGAAGCACGGAGGCAUCCGGCAUUCCCA